CUGAAGUGGCUGCAGUUCUAGGACUUCUCUGCUCUCCAUGCAAUGGGGUGUUAAAAUGUAAUAAAAGAUAUUCGUAAGCCAAAUGGAAACUUCCAAAGCUCACACUUGUUUCAAGGAAACCACUCACUUUUGCUUUUCACACUUCUUUGAGUUGAUCCAUGCUGGGGAACCAUCUGCCAAGACCGAUGGGUUUCUGUGACAGACAGCGUUUUAAUUGGGGGAAAGCUGUAUAACCCAGAGGAAAGCCAACACAGACACCAGAAAAAUGUGCAGACUUGACCGAAGCAGAGACAGGGCUGGGAUUC